UGACGUUUGAUGAAAACAACAACACAUGCAGAUCCUGCAGAAUAAGUACAAUAUUGACACUUAAACAGCUCAUUUUCCUGCUCAUCUGCACAUUAAUCUGACAGGCAGACCGGUAAAAUGGAGGAAUCCAGCAUGUCAACGCGAUUCACCUCUGAGAUCAGUGAAGUGUUGUGGACUGUAAGCCUGUUGAACAGAAGCAGAGACGUGUGGACAGACACUGACUGUACUGAUGACGAUCAUCUGCUGCAGCACAGGCUGUAAAGUAUAACCCCUGCUGGACACGGCUCCGGAAGCUCCAGGGGGAGACCGAACUGGUAUCCCCCCUUCUUCAGGCGCGCCUCACACUCACUCACCAUUCACACAUAUCGCAGAGUUCUGGCUGGGACCGAUACCAGCAACCCCUGAAGCCGUGGGGCAGCGCUCUUACCACAGAUGAUAUUAUCUGGAUGCACACUUAGAUUUGCAAGCUGAGACUGCAUAUGUCAGACUUGCAGUCUCAGACACAAUCCACCUAAUUGAGCUAGUGAUGUCACUGUGAGGGGUGUGGUUAGGGGUGGGGUUAAGUGUGA
rnacentral:lncRNA from 1 species